GCUCCCCGCCCCCAGGCCCACGGGAGAGUUCUAGGACGCCCCGGAAUUUACCUGGGGUCGAUUAACGUCUGCACGCAAAGCUACACAGUAUUUUUCCAAACUAAAACAUUAUUUUAACCUGUGGUUUCCUCUAGACAAACUGACGUAAAAUAAGAAAUAAAAUCCCGGACGGUCUUGUUCUCUAGGUUUUCUGUGGGUUCCUUCAGCCUGAACGGGAAUUCUUCUGUUUUGGUUGCAGAACUUUGUGAUCUGAUGGAUUCCGAGGGGAGCCCAGGAGCUUUGGAGAGGCUGACCUACCACACAAGACCAGCGUCUCUCUCCUCCAACUCCUCUGCUCUCAGAAGCUGGCUCUCCGGACUUCACCUCCACCUUCUGUUUGCGGCCCCUGUUCCUGGUUGCUUCUGGACUCCAGAGCCUAGGGCACCAACCCCUGGGAUUCCGGAGGAAAGCAAGUGACAUGAAACAGCAAGGAGGGAAAGUUCUCUGAGUUUGUCAACUUGGGCAAAUCCGUCCCCAGUCUGGGCUUACAUUUCUCAUCUGCUGAAAAACAAACCAAAGCGGGCAGGACAGGUGAGCUGGAUGAGUGGCCCCCAACUCUGCUCCAACGUUCUAGAACUUUCUGUGUCAGUGAAUGUGUGACUUUCCCCGUGAGCUUCUGUAAGACCGGGCAUCCGGGUGCGAAGGGGCUUUCCCCAAAUCGAGGCACUGGUUGUGUGCUGCCUCCCCAUGCCGCCAGCUGCUGGUGGGUUUCCUUUUAGUGAAAAACAUUUUUUUUUUUUUUUUUUUUUAACCGCUGUACAGCAAAGUGACUCAGUUGUACGUAUGAAAAACAUUUUUUAAGAAAACGCCCUAGAUUUGUCUUACUGAGCUAUAACUCACAGAGCGAAUAGCUCUGACUUUUGACAACCGUACCAGGGCACUGGAGACAGAACAGCUCCACGGCUCCAGGAAGCUCCCGCUGCCCUACUGUGGUCAGCCCUCCCCCACCCCUGGCAACCACUGACCUGUGCUUUGUCCCCGUGAGCUUGACGUUUUGCAGUUAAGUGAAAGGUCCCUCACCGGCCCCCGAGCCAUGGCUGGUCUGUGGAGCGGCCAACCCAGCUGCAUCCAGGCAGCGUUCCGCGAGGCCAGCGCCAGGGCCGGAUUCCAGAAGAGGCAGAGAAACAUGCUCCGUCGCCUCAGGGCCAAUCACAAGAGGAAUCACCUGGACUUUGCUGAAGUGUCUGGAGAGAGGUGCAGUUAACCCUGGCCUCGUGGUGGUUUAAGACACCAGGUGUCGCUGAAGAACAGGGCUGGCGUGCUACUAUGUCGUUCUACCGCAAAGCAGUGAGUAGAGGACCUGGCCAGGUGUUUCUCGGUUUGCGAGAACUGAUGCUGUCGGUUUAUUGCAGUGUGAGACACCCCCCCGCCCCCCCACCCUCCAGCAGCCAACAUACACCCAAUCUGGGCCCUGGGGCCUUGGGGCCUGGCGGGGACACUCACUGCUCUGCCGGGGGGUGGGUGUCACUAGAACGGGUGUCCACUUCAUGAAUUCCAACAAUUCUGACCAGUGUCUUUUCUUUCUUUUUUUUUUUUUUUAAUUAAUUAAUUUAUUUAUUGGCUGUGUUGGUUCUUCCUGCUGCGCGUGGGCUUUUCUCUAGUUGCAGAGAGUGGGGGCUACUCUUUGUUGCGGUGCGUGGGCUUCUCACCGCGGUGGCUUCUCUUGUUGCAGAGCAUGGACUCGAGGCACACAGGCUUCAAUAGUUGCGGCACGUGGGCUCAGUAGUUGUGGCGCACGGGCUUAAUUGCUCCACAGCAUGUGGGAUCUUCCCGGACCAGGGCUCGAACCCAUGUCCCCUGCGUUGGCAGGUGGAUUCUUAACCACUGCGCCACCAAGGAAGCCCCUCUUUUUUUUUUAAAAUAAUUUUUAUUGGAGUAUGGUUGCUUUACAAUGUUGUGUUCUGACCAGUUUCUGACUCUGGAAUGAUUUUGUCUGCCUCUAGAUUAAGGUGUUUGUAUUCAUUUUUGCCUUCUGGAAUGAGUGACAGUGUCGGCUCUCCAAAGGGGAAAUGAGCCCUCUCGGGAGUUUUCACUACCCAAGGGAAAGGACUCCACGGGGUCCCUGCUGACUCGGGCCUCGGGUCCCUCUGUGGGUGACUGAGGCCGCGGGUCAGCGGGGAGGGAGGUGCGCACACGUCUGGCCGUGUGGAUGGACCUGAUUGUUUGCCGGUCCUCACGGCCGGGCCGUCUGGAAGGAGGCCUCAGCACCGCACGGGGUCGCCCACGGUGAUGAGCCGCGGGCACUUGGGCCUGCUCUCUGCAGCCCUUUCCAGCCAGAGCCCCUCAGGCGAGCACUGGCACGGGAGGAAAAGAAAGAAGAGCAACAGGUAGGAAAGUCUGGUGCGAGGUGGCGGGUGAGGAGGGUCGGAAAGCUCCGAAGCCCCCUUGGCCGGCGGUGGUAGAGGUGGGGACAUUUGGCUGCCCUGGGGGGUCUCCUGCCCCUGCUGUUCAGACCCGCUGUGCACGCGGCCGGCCUUUGAGAACCACCUCGGACACCUUGCAAACAGUGAGUGUUUGGACUUAGAGACUCAUUUCCGCCUCCUUCGGCCGCCUGGGACGGCUCUGUGUGCCGGGGACCGAGGCUCCACGGCCCGGCCGCGGCCUGUUUGUGCAGGCCGGUCAGGGAGCUGAGGCGGCCUGAGUGUGGCCCCCACCAGGGUCAUGGCGCCUGCUCUUUGGAGGAGCCGCUGGGAGGAAAUGAGCUCAGACCCCUGGUGGUGGGCAGAGUGGAGCCAACGCUGGGAUGAGGGCUUUAAAUGAUGGGGCUCAGGCUGAGCCCCCGGCAGUGGUGAACCCUUGGGCUUUCUGGGGGCUGUGGGGAUACUUAUCGAAUGCAUUAAAAAAAUAUAUUUAUUUAUUUGGCUGCACCGGGUCUUAGUUGCGGCACGUGGGAUGUUUAGUUGCGGCAUGCGUGGGGGAUCUAGUUCCCUGACCAGGGGUCGAACCCGGGCCCCCUGCACUGGGAGUGCAGAGUUUUAACUGCUGGACCACCAGGGAAGUCCCUAUCGAAUGCAUUUUUAACGAUUUAUUUGCAGGGCAGAUCAUGCAAAAUUUGCCAAGGUCAGUGAUGGAAGAAAUAAUUUAGGCAUGUAAGGGGUGUGCUCUACUUGAGUCCACUGCUAGAAAUUGCUAACUGGCUCAGAAAUCCUUUUGUCAUCGGUUUUUAGAUCUUUAUGAUGCCGAUUCAGAAGACCUCCCCGGUCACUCCUGUAGUUUCAACGACUGCUCUCUGGGCAGUGUGAACUGUGACGUGCCUUUGCACACGCUCAAGUCCACGAGUCCAGGGGAGAGCCUGAGAAAAAUAAGAGAAAGAAGCAGUAUGUGGCCUAGACCAAGAAAGGGGCGCUAGAAAAGGCGAGUCUCACUCGGUGCAGAGAACAGCGACGCCGCGCUCGUAGAAGCUGCGCGGGUCCUCCUUGGUCGCGAUCUCGAAGUCCACGGUGAAGAUGAGGUCUGCUCGGGUGAAAUUCAGGUAGACGGGAAGGGUCACCUGCGAGGAAAGGAGGCUCUGGGUCAGGGACUCCACGUGAGAGGGAAGGGACGGUUCCUCCUGCGAGGCAGGGACUCGCGGCCGGAAGAGGGCGGGGACGUCGCCCUGGCGCCCGGUGGGCGUCCUCAGAGUCUCCCUGACCACAGAGGACGGGAAGGAGCCACUCACCACGUUAGCCUUUUUCUCUGCGUUUGUCUGCUUGAGCCAGCGCAGCUGCGUCAAGGGGAGGACGGUGGAGAUGGCGUUGGAGAGCGAGAGCUUGUUGUUGCUGCACAUGGCCCCCUGGAGCUUCAACCCUGGGGUGGGAGGGGCGGGCGGUCAGGACCCCCCCGAGGGGAGCACGAGCUGCGCGGCCAUGGGCCUGGGCUCUAACUUAACACGUUCGGGUGCGAACCACCAGCGAGCGGCCCGCGAGGGGGCGAUGGCCGAGCGGCAGGCCUGGGGACGGGGGAGGGGAAGCUGAGCGAGAAGAGAAGCCCGGCCGGCCGGAGCGGCCCCCACUCACCCGUGACCCCAAAGCUGCAGGCGUCCAGCGUGGUGCUCUGCGAGGUGGUGACGUUCACCUCCAGGCAGAGCUCCUCCAGGGACCAGCUGUUGGCCUGGGCCACGUACUGCCUGGUGGCAGUGAUGUACGCCUCGGGUACAAACAGGCCGCCCAGGCACACGUGGAUGUUCUGUGGGAAGAAGCAGCCCCAGCUGAGAGCCGGCCCCGCUGGGCCCCUGAGUGCCAGCACCCGGGCCAGCUCCCGACCCUCCCUGGGGACCCUCCCUGGGACCCUCCCCCGGCUCCUCAGGAGCGGCCGCCACCUUUAGCUCCUUGGCGCCACCAGAGGCCGCCGCCAGCGAGAUGCCUUGCAGCUGUUUGAUCCUCUCACUGAAGUCGGAGACCCACUGGAUGACGCUCAUGCCGGCGGGCACCGUGUAGUGGGACCAGCUCCGGGGCAGAAUUCCUGCAAGCGAGGGGCCCCGGCCUGGCGUCAGCGCCGGCAGUUCCCGCGGCGCGGGUGGGCGCACAGCUGAGCGCUGGCAGGUCUGCCCCCGCGUGCAGGCUCUGCUGCGUCCCCUCCCUGGUGCACCUCACGCCCUGCUCGGGCCACCGUCCCCGCCACGCCUGCCCCGCGCCCAGUCCGGGUGGCCCACGGGACGCGUCUAGAGGAGCUCGACCGCCCCGAGGAACCACAGCUGCAAACCCCGCCGCGGGCGGCUCGGCGGUACUGCCAGUCGAGGCUCUCGGGGCCCAUGGAAACCCUGGGGGGUCCCUGUGCCUUUGGACCCCAGCACCCCGCCCUGCUUUCCCCCUGUCCUAGUCCUCCCUAAAGACUGCAGAAGUGAGUAAAGAUUUUGUUCAGUGUUCAGUGAACCAGCAUAAAAGGAAAACAAAUUCUCGGGUGUUUCUAAGUCUGCUCCCAGGUGCGGGCAUCGAGCUGCCCUGAGGGAAGUCUGGGCGAGGCCCGGCCGGGAGCACCUGCACCCAGCGGCACCGCAGGCGCACCUUUCACCAGCUCGUUGAUGAGUGUGCGCAGGUAGUUGGUCUGCUUCUUCUUGCCCUCGCACACCUGCACGACGUCAGCAAGAUCCUGGCGGACGUCCUGGAGUAGCUUAGCGCCCAUCUUCACCUCUCUCUCAAAGAAUCUGAACAGAGGAUCCUAAGGGUGUUGGAAAAGAAGGCCAGAGUGAAGAAGGGGAGGGAGUCUGGGAAGAGGUCUUUUCUCCUGCAGAAAACAGAACCAGAAGUAACUCAGCCUCAGGGAGACCCGGUUUCAUAGCCCUCCCCGUGUUACUCACAGCGUCACCCCAGCUCGACCCUGCACUAGACCUCGCGUGAAGCUGUGGGCCUGCCUGACGGAUGGCAGCUCUGGACAAUCCCGUGAAGAAGGAGAACGGCUGCCGCCGCUUCCUCGGGAGCCAUUUACCUCCUCGUAGAAGACGGACCACCGUCACCCUAGGGUGCUCCCUCCGGCCCGGCCCAGGCGCGCGUGCGCUCCGAGGCGACACUGAGCUCGGCCCGACCCGCCCAGCCCCGCUUGCUGGGACCACCCCAAGCCCAGGGACGCGGCGGGGGUCUAACUGUGCGCCCUGCAAGGUACCACGCGGGCACCUGUCCUAAAGCGUGGAGGACGGCCUGGCCAGAAAGGUAAGGCGGCAACGACAGAAGAAACAGCACCACCAGGUCAAGUCCCGACUGCUGGGGCUGCUCCAGUGGCCGAGUGCAAACACCAGAGGCCUCUCCCAGGCUCACGCAUCCACUGUUGUCAGGGGGUGGGCUCGGGGGUGCGCCGGCACCAGGCGGGGAGGCCACCUGGGCUGCUGACGCGCGACCACUUCCGGCUGGGACUGCGCUGAGCCAUGUGGCGGCCUCCCGCGGGCUCUGGACUCCGCCUCUGCCUGCGGGUCCCUGACCCGAGUGGGGCGCUCCAGGUCCAGUUCCUGGGCGGCGCUAUCACCUGGAGGCUGGGCUGGAGGACAGGGCUCAGCUUCCCCAGGCCAGGCCCGUGGCUCACACCUCACGGCCUCCACGUGGGCCACACCACCUGGGGCACCGUCAGUUCUAGCGUGACACGGGGCUCAGAUAACAGUCACUACAGUGUUGAGGGCGACCCAGCGCCGGUCCCAGCAGGCAGCACCGGUGUUAACUCGCUAAGUGAUCUCAGUACACGCUGCCGUACGAGACAAGGCCCAGCCCCCACCCCCGCCCGAGACCUGCCCAGCACCCAGGCCUCAAGCCCUCCUCUGCUUCCCUGCUGGCCAGCCCGGCCUCCCUCUUGGUCACCUGUGGGGCCUGCUGUCCCCCGCCUCCCCCAGCGAGAGGCACACGUUCGGGGUCGUCAUCAGUCAGAAAGCAGGCCCCAUGGCUAGGGGUUCUCAUUACAGAGCUGAAUCGGGGGCCUGAGGUGAACUGUUGGGGUCUGUCCUAUCAACCAGGGUGUGAGUUUGGGCAAAUCAUCCGUCUUCUGGGCCUGUUUCCCAUAAAGAGAAGCCUGGCUCAGAUGAGCAGUUCUCAAACCUGAGUGUCUCAGCAACCGGGGAGCUUAUCAAAACAGACGCUGUGCCCCAGCAAGCCCAGUUCUGAUUCCCCGGCGUGGGGCCCGAGGACCUGCAUGUCUAAGUUUGCAGGGGAGGCUGAAGUUGUUGGUCUGGGGACCACACUUUGAGAACCACUGGGUUAGAUGAUUUCUUGAAUAGUCUUGAAGUUCUAAAAAAGUGUAUUCUAAAAAGAGACUAAAAGAUUUAAAAUGUCACUUAAUGCCAAGAGUUUAAAAAAACUGAACAGGAGAAAAAAUGAAAUUACUUCUGAAUCUAAGACAAAAACCUAAAAGCAAUUUCCCGACUCCAUGUAUGCAGCUAUCGAGCCUUUUCCCUGGAACGGAGCCCGUACUGCAGGAAAGACACCGGCGGGAGCAGAUGAUUUUCCCUGACUCCCCGGGAGUGGAGGAAGGGAGGUGUGGUCUGGGGGAGGAGGAGAGCUGGGUACCCACCCUGGGUGGUAAGGAGGACCUUCUCAGCGUUGUUGGGCAGGCCCAGCCAGGAGGGGGUCUGGGUGUCGGGGAGCAGCUCCACCCACUGCACAAACUCCUCUCGCCUGGAAAAGCAGCGCGCCGUUAGCACCGUUACACGCAGGCCGGACACACCCGGUACCUCCACUGUGGGUCCCGGGGGCGGGCGCCCACCUGAUGCCGUCUGGCAUCUGGAUGUCUUUGUGCCCGUCAACCCUGCAGGCCAGCUUAAAUUCACUGUCGAAGCUCCUGGUGGUGAACAGACGCUCCAGGAAAGUGUUGAGCAGCCGCUGGUCGAAUUCGUUGUCCACCCGCCCGCCGUAGAUGGACUGCGCCAUCAGGGUCUUGAGCGCCGACCAGGGGAUCUUGUCUGGAGAGAUGUUCUGCCUUCCCUGGGGGGGUGGGAGGGGCUGGUCACGGGGGUGGAGGCUCCUCCUCCCUCAUGCUCACGGCAGGCAGCCGCCUGUACACAAGUCCCCCCUCUCACCGCACAGCCCACGCUUGCCUUGGCCGUGUCGUCCAGCCACGUGUCCACCGUGUCGCAGGCCGACCGCAGGUCAGACUCCCCGAAUUCAUACUUCUUCGACCACCCCAGGGGUGCGUAUCGUAAGCGUUCUUGGAUGAUGGCGUGGAACCAGGCCAGCAGGAAGUACAAGCGAGCACGCUCGUUGGGAGACUAGGCGGGGAAGUUAGCAAGGAGAGAAUCACCAGAACGCAGCCCCCUCUCUAUCUAAGAAAAUAGUGCCGAUCCUGUCGGAAUCAAAGUCUUAAAAAGAGCUUUCCAUGUACUAACGUUGGAACCACUGUGAUCUUAGUAAUUAACACGAAUAUUGUUGUUAGGAGAAAACUACACCAAUUUUUCUAUUAAUAAAGAUGUACUCCCAACUACGCUGUUAAGAUAAGCUAUUUAGCCAACAGAAAAUUACACAGGAGAGAACAAGUUUCUAAAAAUGGUAGAAAAGGUGGAUUAAGGCACAAAAGGAAACAGCACUUAAGAAACACAGACCCGACGCACCACUCCUGCCACAGUGCUCUCCUGCCCGCGAGCCGAGCCCCGGUCUCCCUCGGUGCCCGGACGUCUGAGCGGCCACUACACCCCAGCUUGCCUCCGAGCCCCUGCGCUCACCUUGCAUAUCCGAGACACGGGGAUGCUGCUGAACGUCCUCAGCAUGUUGGCCUUCACGCCCGGGGGCGGCUCAAACACGAAGAUGCGGCCCGCUCGGAGCAGGUUCACGGGCACCUGUGCAAGACACGGCACCCGUGACCGCGGCUUCCACGUGCGUUUCAGCUCACACACACGUGCACACGGACACAGAGGUGCCAAACCAGCGCCUCGCACACCGCCUCGCACCCUCCGUGCCGCCCACCUUGGGGUUGAUCUCCAUGGUGAGGAAGAGCCUGAAGCAGGCGUGCGGCUGCAGCGAGUGCAGCUUCUUCUCCAGCUGCAUCAGCCAGCCCGGGGCCAGGUGCACGUUCUUCAGCAUCACCCACCUGCAGGGCAGGGAGAAGGCCGCAGCCACACCUCACCUUUCCGGCCUGAAUUCUUGGGCACUUGGGCCUUGUAAAGCAAAACCAAACAAGCCUACCUGCCCGACUUCACGGCUGUAUUUAUCGCCUUAUCUGCUUGGUUAAAGCCUUCUGCCGAGCCUGGUACCAGAAAGCUUAGUGUCAGCACGCGGACUUGGACUUCAACGCCCACCCACCUUGAAGUCUGGGGUGCCCCCCGUGGAACUGACCAAGCACCCUUACCAAUGGCAAUGGACGUGAUCUGUGUGUUCUGCUCAGCUGCGAGGUCCUCCACGUGCCCGCUGGCAUCGUAACCGGGCACAGAGCACAUUAGGACAGGGGUGUUUGGCUUUACCUGCAGAUCAGGAAGUUGGAAUUGGGUGAGAGAGCAUUCCACCCGACAGCGCACCUGUCGAGGGAGGAGAGCCCUGUGGAGGGGCUCGUGAAAACAGGCCAGUUCAGAGUCCGUGGGGCCAGAGCGUACCUCCGUGUCCACGAUGUGGGUCAGGUCGAGCGGCUGCUCCAUGAUGGACAUGAAGGAAUCCCCGAGGUUUGUGGAGACAAACAUGUGAGCCAUGGCCAGCAGGCGGUCGGGGCGGAAGGCCUGAAUCAAGAGCAGCCGGUGGAUGGCUUGCCCGAUGGGAGCUGAAACGAGGCCGUGAGAAGGGCUGGGGGCUGGUGGCAGCACAGGUUGGCGAUGUUCUCCCGCCUGGAUGCUCCUGCCCCCAGCUCUCGCUCUGCAAACACUCAGUGUCCGAGACUCAGCUCAGACACCCCAGACGCCACGACGCCCGCGCUGUCCUCCCUGCCUGAGAACUGCCACCACCGCCACGCUGUCACCGAGCCCUCUGGGACCUGCGCCCGGGUCUGUGGGUGAUGAACGGUUACUGAUUCUAAAUGACUAACUACAUCGCACCCAUCUGUGGAGAACCCUGAAUAUUCUCAGGAACGUCUAAGAUCACAGACACCCCACAGCCUACGACUGAGCUGCAGCCGCGCUGGACGCCACCCUUUUCUUCCUCCCCAUCGUGGGGCCUGUCUGGUCCAGAGCCUCGCAUAACAUGCUCGAAACCAGCCGGUUUCCCCCCGAUGCUGGGCAAGGACCUUCUGAUCUAUUUCUCUUUUGGUCUUUAAGCAUGAGUUGCAGCAGGAAUUGGGAGUUUUUUGCUUUCUCACGCCUCAGCCAUCUCCUAAGUUUUAACACUGAAAUACUUAUCUCAGGAAUCAAUGGCUUUUUAUCUUUGGGGAGCGUCCCUGCAUUCGAGCAGCAAAGCCCAGUUUUAUACUCCGGUCCGGAAUGAAAACAACGGGGGAGGCCUCGUGGGGCUUACUUGCGGGGCUCUCCUCACUCCAGAGGUAUGGCACCGUCUGCUCUGGGGAGCUGCUGUCCAGCCAGAUGCCAAAUUGCUGUGGGGAAAACAGUGGAAGUGUCGCCAUGGAGCAGAGCCCACCUCUGGGCAGAGAGGUUGGGACCAACGUGUCAGAUGUUUGACAUGCUUCUCUAAGAAGUUCGAGCGUACUGCACUAGGAUGACUGUUUUCUGUAGAAUUCACUGCUGCCCCUCUCAGGGCCAGCUCCUGGAGGGCAGGGAUCAACACCACCGCUGCUGCAGCCCCACGAGCUGACGGCUGUGAAGAGUUUACGCUGCCCAGGACCCUCUUCACUCAAUGCUCACGAUAACCCUACAAGGGUUUCCCUAUGGUGAAAGCAGACUAGCUUUACGGAAACUCUGCUUUAAGAGAUGAAGACAGUCUUAAGUAUUUAGAAAAGGCUUCAGAGACUUAUCAAUGACGCUUUUGGAAACGUACAUCGCCGGGACCUCUGGGGGAAGGCCACGCUGCCCCCUAACCUGUCCACCCUUCCCAGAGAGCCAGUCCUCUGACAGGGUGCACACACCAUUCUGGGCCUCGAUGACGGCCGGCUCCACCUUGUCGAGGUCUUCCUUGACGCUCAUCUGCUUGUCUGCGAUCACCUCCUGCUGCUUAUGCAGCUGUUCCUGAAUUUCCUGGCUCAUGACCUGGAGAGGAAGGACGGUUCAGCUCCGGGGUAAGCACCGGUUCAUCUGCUGAGUCCUAAAAUGGCACUCCUCAUGCCGCCCGGGACAGACAGACAGACAGACACACACACACACACACACACACACACACACACACCCUGCCCCCACCACAGACCCGUUCAACCCUAAAACCCGUCUCAGACUAAACUCCCUACUCCCUCAUGAGAGACGGAGAACGCCCGGCCCACAUAGGCCACGGUUCCCAAAACACAAAGAAGCACCUUUUUCUUCUCAGCCUCUUGCUGGUCCUUCACCAUCUUUUUCAGCUUGUCGUUGGCCGCUGCAUUCUUCACCUCCAGCUCUUGGCUCUUUAUCCUGAGGUCCCGACGCAGCUCUUCCACCUGAGGAACAAAAACCACGUCAGGGAAGUGGAAACCACACGGCGAUUACCUUCAAACUAAGAGGCCCUCCCUAGCCCAGCCCCAGAAAAUGCCGCUCAGGCCGCGAGGUACCUGGUCGACCGUCUCUUUGAUUUUCCUGAGCCCGACGUUCAGGUGCAUCUGCUGCUCCUCCAGCUCACUCCGCUUCUCGUGGAACAGGUCGGCGUAGUGGUUGAUGAAGUCUAGGUAGUGGCGAGGCGUGAUGGCCAUGGUUCUGCCUCCUCGCUUCGCUAGCCGAGCAUUAGCCUUUUGGAAAAAAGUCAAAUCUCUUCGCUCUCCGGGACGUUCGUCCUCUGCGAUUUAACCUCAGAGAAUAACUGUCGUGCUGGUGCGGCACGACGGCACGGCCCCAGCCCCGGGAGUCCCAUCACUCGAGAUGGAGUCUAGCUCAGGCUCCCACGGGACUGCAAGGGGCCCUCACACCUCUGAGCUCCUCCGACCUCUAGGGCUAGGGCAGGGCCAACAGGACACCCACAGGCUCACAGCGGUCUUCACAGAGCCUUCCAGAGGGGAGCAGACUGGACUCGUCUAACAAAAAGAGUCUAAAGGAGGGGCAGCGAACCACAGCCAGCAGGUCAAACCCUGCAGCACAGCCUCUGCACGCGGCGUGUCAGCCCCACGGCCACGCUCGCUCGUGGCAACGCUGCUCUCGCGCCACGGCGGCAGAGCUGGGCAGCCGUGCGGGGGCCCCGCUGGCACCUGGCCCUUUGCAGAGAGAGUGCGUGACCCCUGCUCUGGGGGAAGAACACAGGCCUGGCCAGAGAGGCAGCGAGAGAAGCAAAUGGACUCAGUGUGGGCAGGGAAAGGGCCAGACGGCUCCGGAACACACGGCUGGGUGACAGGCGGGGUGAGACGUCAUUGACAGAGGUAGGAAAACAGGGCAGCCCUGUGGGCAAUGAGAACUCCAUGGAGGCUGGCGUGGAACCGAGUCAUCUACAACGCAAUAUUCCAAGACUCCUCGAAAGCAUGGGUGAGAAAAGCUGCCUGAAGGCAAGAAUAACUGGUCCAGACAUGUAACUGCCAAAGGCUUAAGUAUUUCUUAGUCUGGAGGGAACCAUCUGCCUUGGGUUCUGCCAGGGGAGUAACUAUUAACCAACUCCUAUGACUACCCACAGCUGAGGCCACGAGUGGUCAGAGGAGCUUGUCCUGCUGGGACCGUGUCCUCUACAGGUGGGCCACCUAGGGCAACCUCACACUUACUCCGGGACCGAGGGGACCUGCCCUGCCAUCAAGUUCCUGCCCUCCUGCUCCUACUCUGCAGCCCCUCUUGCUCUGUUCCGAGUAACCUGUUCACAGGCAGAACGUUUCCCCAAAUAGUUUGCAACAGGAAAUCGUGGUGCUGCACUAAAUAGUAAAUCAGUUAAGAUUUGUUGUUUGUUAGAAGUUUAGAGUUAAAGCAACAAAAGUCUAACUUUUUCUCACUAAUCAAAAAUGAGCCUAAAAGGCUACGAAGGACUGCAGUGCUAAAAUACAUAAAAUUAACAAUAUAAGAAAAAUCAAUAAAAAUGACAGAGCAGGAACUAGGAAAACUAAGAAUUUACUAUAAAACAAAGAUUACACAGAACUAUAAACAAAGAAUACAAGAAAAAGAUUCUGAUUUAAAAAGGUCAAUAGGGACGUCCCUGGUGUCGCAGUGGUUAAGAAUCCACCUGCCAAUGCAGGGGACACGGGUUUGAGCCCUGGUCCAGGAAGAUCCCACAUGCCGCAGAGCAACAAAGCCCGUGCGCCACAACUACUGAGCCUGUGCUCUAGAGCCCGUGAGCCACAACUACUGAGGCCUCGUGCCACAACUGCUGAGCCCUCGUGCCUAGAGCCCGUGCUCCACAACCAGAGAAGCCACCACAAUGAGAAGCCCACGCACCGCAACGAAGAGCAGCCCCCGCUUGCCCAGACUAGAGAAAGCCCGCGAGGAGCAAUGAAGACCCAACGCAGCAAAAAAUAAAUGGGAAAAAAAAAAAAAAAAGGUCAAUAAUUUUCAAGAUGCCUUGAGACAGAAAACGACUCAACUUUUUACUGAGACUUACGACGGUUCAAACCACAAAACCUUCCACGAUCCAAGCUGACCACUACAGCCACUAACAAGUCUCUCCCUUCAGUACUGGUCACUUAACUAGAAAAUGUCAAAACUUGCAAGACUUGAAAUAAGUGGCCAACAGGUAAAAAGAGAAAACUAAAGUCCCAGAGAUACAGCUGCAAAUCCUCUGAUGAGAGCAAAGACUGAGGGUGAGGAAGGGGUGGUGGUUACGGAACUGCACCCCAGGCUGCUGUUAGAAGGCACUGAAAUUCACCUGUGACCUCUGUGCCCUGACCUUGUGUGGGGCCCACCCAACAGUGAAAGAGGUGAGUUAAAGUGCCUUGCCCGAGGUUACACGGUAACCAGCAGGGCCGUCGGGGUCUCGUACGUGGGGGCGGCUGUGAUCAACUCCAGAUGCAAGGCUGACCUCGCCACCUCACUCCUGUCCAUCACCAGCUCAGCCUGCCUCAGGGCAGGCCAGCCUCAUGCAGACCCUAACUCGGGGGGUCGGAAGGGUCAACGCAGGGGAGCAUGGAGCUACCCGGAGCCUUGGCUUUACCUGUCCUGGAAGAGACGGAGGGCUUCAUGUGCCCAAAUCCGAAUGAGGCCUUCCACCGGCAGAGUCUCCAGGGGUCUCAAUGCCUCGAAGAUACCUCGCACCCACCGGGUCAUUUCACGGGGUGAGUAGAUAUAGUGGGGCUGUGUGUCCUGAGUGAAUCUCUCCUGCAGGAAUCGAAAAGAUGCAAGUUACAUGUAAAUGUCCUAAGACAUGAAAAGUAGUUAAAAAGUCAAAUGUAGUAUAACAUUUUUAUAUUAAGAAUAAAGACUCUAGACCCUGGAAUAUUUGAGAAUGAAUUGGUAAAUAAUGUUGGGACUACUGUUCAGAACAAAGCAAGAUCCAACUUGCUCACUUUAUGUUG